rnacentral:rRNA from 1 species
UACGGGGGGGGGCAAGCGUUGUUCGGAAUUACUGGGCGUAAAGGGCUCGUAGGUGGCCAACUAAGUCAGACGUGAAAUCCCUCGGCUUAACCGGGGAACUGCGUCUGAUACUGGAUGGCUAGAGUUUGGGAGAGGGAUGCGGAAUUCCAGGUGUAGCGGUGAAAUGCGUAGAUAUCUGGAGGAACACCGGUGGCGAAGGCGG